AUUGAACGCUGGCGGCAGGCCUAACACAUGCAAGUCGAACGGUAGCACAGAGAGCUUGCUCUCGGGUGACGAGUGGCGGACGGGUGAGUAACGUCUGGGAAACUGCCCGAUGGAGGGGGAUAACUACUGGAAACGGUAGCUAAUACCGCAUAACGUCGCAAGACCAAAGUGGGGGACCUUCGGGCCUCACACCAUCGGAUGUGCCCAGAUGGGGUUAGCUAGUAGGUGGGGUAAUGGCUCACCUAGGCGACGAUCCCUAGCUGGUCAGAGUGGAUGGCCCGCCACACGGGAACUGAGACACGGUCCAGACUCCUGCGGGAGGCAGCGGUGGGGAAUAUUGCACGAUGGGGGCAAGCCUGAUGCAGCCAUGCCGCGUGUAUGAAGAAGGCCUUCGGGUUGUAAAGUACUUUCAGAGGGGAGGAAGGAGGUGAAGUUAAUAGCUUCACCGAUUGACGUUACCCGCAGAAGAAGCACCGGCUAACUCCGUGCCAGCCGCCGCCGUAA
rnacentral:rRNA from 1 species